CAGGGAGACAACACAAUGAUUUUGAUGCCUGAGUGCUUUUAUUCUUAGGCCGAAAUCCUGUCACCUUAGGUCGAUCGGUACCUCAGCUUUGAAAUCGAGGAUCAGCAGCAAUGUUGAUGGCCUGAUGGAGAUUUUCAGUUCCUAAACUUUGUCUAGGUCACACCCCAAAAGGGAUGAGACUCCUGGGCCAUUAGCUCAGGUGGUUAGAGCGCACCCCUGAUAAGGGUGAGGUCCCUGGUUCAAGUCCAGGAUGGCCCAUUCGGUGUUGGGGGUUUAGCUCAGUUGGUAGAGCGCCUGCUUUGCAAGCAGGAUGUCAGGAGUCCGAGUCUCCUAACCUCCACUGACCGAACUUGAUUCCCAUCUCCAAUUUUUUUGGAGUUGAGCUCGAUUGGAGUGUGAUUUAGAUGUGUCCGCUGGAUGACCCCAGCUUCCUGCCAUUCCAAGUUUUAGGUUGAUGCCUUGAAUUUGGUCGAUAAGAUGCUGGGCUCGGAUCAAAUGAUCAAGCAAUUGAUGAUUUGAUUUGAAGUUCUAGCAGAACCUUGACAACUGCAUAGGUGAGUCUGGAAAAAACAAAGCAUCUUACAGAUGCAUUGUUUUGAAUCUGAUCUUCUGAAAGGGAGAUUGGAUCUAGAACAAUGAAAAUUCUUUUGAGCAAGAGCCGAGACUCUUGAGCGUUCUUUGAUUGGUGUCGAGCCAAUCAGAGUUUGAUCUUGUUUUUAGCAAUAAAAACUUGAGAAUCUGCUUUCAACGGCGGUAAGCGUUCAGGAGGUUAAUU
rnacentral:tRNA from 1 species